GUUUACAUCUCUUCAUUGAGAGCCAAUUAUUUUGCUUUUGUGUGAGGCCAGAGAAUCCCUUGUGUUGCCUGCCUGCAUAAAGCCUCAUUCACAAAGCCUCAGUUGGAUGCAGCUGAACAAAUUGCUUUCUCUCCUCCUGUGAUCCCAGAUUUUCAGUGUGAAUGGAUAUUUCCCCACUUCACAGCCCAAACAUCUGGAGAUGGAAACUUAAGGCAGCAUCCAUGGCUCUGUUUCAUCUUCAUGACAGUUAAUAACUCAAGAAAAGCAAUCCAAUCUUUAGCAAUCAACUACUUGAAGAAACACCUGCCUAAAAGAAACUUUGGAACAGAGAGGAGAUUCUUGGGUGCAUAAAAAGAGUUUUGUAAAAUUAUACCUAAUUUCCAUAAAUCACGACUAUGUUUUCAUUUUUGAGAAGAGCAUUUUUUCCAAAUCUAAGUUCAGAAAGGAAAAUAAAAUAAAAAAGGAAGAGCACCUGGGAGGUAAAUCAUUUCCUGAAUAGCCUUGGCAAUUUAGCACCAUUGAAAGUUUCCUAUUUAACACACCACUUUUAAUCUCAUUUUUAAAGAUAAACACCAUGAUGCAGUUUUAUGACUUUGGGAUUUGAAAAUUACUGAGGAUUCCUUGCCUUCCAUAUGUAUGAAUAUUUAUUUGUUUUCAUGCUUCCACAUCCCAUCCUGAUCUUGUGCUCCUUGGGGAGGGAGAGACAACUGGGGAAUGUACCCUUUGCAUGUCAUCAAACCUAAUGCAGUGCAGAACACCACAGAGAGAGAGAGAGAGAAAGAGCUGCUUAUCCAAAUGGAGAUCUAAAUACUGGUUUUGUCUGAUAUAGCAUUACUUUGGACAGUUACAGCCAAUCCAGUGAAAAGGUUGGCAGUGGGGUGCUGUUUUUCUUUUUCUCACAUGUCUGCUCCAAUGCAGGCAAUUUUACACCCCUCCUGCAAAAAUGAGGGGAUUAUUAAUUUCACUUAAUGGAAAACAUUUGUGAAAUGCCUCUGUUAUGAUGCCAGCCUUCAUUUAUAAGAAUGACAGCCAGCUUCCCAGUUUAAGAAUAUAUAUUGCUUUUUCUCACAUAGAAUCAGCACUAAGGAAAGCAUGGCUUCUGUCAUUUAAAUGCCCCUUUGGUCUCAGGGAUAGGAAAAAGCUUUAAAAUUGCAGGCAGAACUCAGGGGAAAUGGAGGAAUAAGUUGCUGUGCCAGAUUGGGAGUAUACCAUCUCCUAAUAGCUCUGAUAAAUGACUGGAAUUACCGCUAGAGGCAAGGGGAGAAACAGAGUCCUUGGCUUUGGACUCCAGGUUGUCUGAAGGUUUUAGGCAGAGGUUAUGUUUAAUUUCAAUUGCUUUGGUGUGUGUGUGUUUGUCCAAUAUUCUUUGUAUUUCUGUACAAACUCAGUGACUGUACAGAUUUUGGUCUUUUAUCACAUAUCACUUUGGCAAUAAAGAUUCUUCCUUUCUUUCAAAUCUCUUGAGCUCAUAAUUUUUUUCCUGAAAAAAUCUUUUUGCUUGGGG